AAGACCUAAAAAGGUGUUUCUCUCUCUCUCUCUCUCUAUGCUCUUUGUCGCCGUCAAUGACUACACAAAACUUUUUUCUUUAGCCUCUCCUCUCUCGCCGUCUCUCCCAAAUGGAUUAUUUUUUUGUUUUCUUCUUUUUGUCGACAAAGUCGAAGAGAUGUAGUCAUGUAGAGGAAGAGAAGAAGGCAAAGAUUUCAUGGCUAAGGUUUUUGUUUCUCUUUUAACUAAAUUUACAUUUUAUGUCUAUGUUUGAUGAUUAAAUUCCAAGUUUAAUUUGGAAUUUUGUUUCAGAAUCUUGAUUAGUAUAAUGGUUUUGUGUUCGUCUGAUCAUGAUCACGAUUUUGAGAUGAUAACCUCAGUCUCAUUAAUUCGCAAUAACUAAACCUCAGAAACAUGUGUGAUUCAUCUAUCCUGUCAAGUAAGCCUUGCUCUGUCGCCGCCGUCAAUUCAUGGUUUCAUGCUCGCAAGAGUUUUUUGGCCAUGGAAGGUGCAGAGGAUUUCCUUAGAAUAUGAAACAUUUCAAUAUUAUCAAGCUCUGGAUGUGAAAAGUUAAAGGUUAAUUUCAUUUCUUCGAACACGAGUCCAACCCUCAGCCUAAUUACGCUUCUAUAAAUCUCUCCCUCUUCUAUGUCAUUUAAUUCGCCAUGUUUUUGUUCUUUUCAGUUUUUGCAUUUUCAUGGGCAAUGAUUUUUUUUAAUCACACGUUGGACUGAUUUCAUAUGCAAUGGUUUUAGGUGAAUCUAUAUGCAAGCUAUUAUUAGUUCAUAUUUUACUCUGUUUUCUUAGUUUCAAGUAUAAUAUGAUAUUGGUGAUGGUUCACUAUCUGUAUAUUUAUACAUCCUUAAAUGGUUUUAGAUUUGAAAAACCGAUACUUAUAAGUAAACAGAUCCUUAUGAUAUUGGUGAUGAUUCGGUUUGUCUAAGUUGUAUAUUGCAUGUUUUGGUGAAUUAAUUUGCAGAGUUUGGUUUUAUAAGUUGCAGGUUCUGUUUCUAAGUUGUAGGUUUAUUUUCAAAUAUAAUUUUGUUUGGUUUACAUGCUUGAUGAUUCACGUUUACAGUUGAAAUUUGAUUUGCUUUAGAUGCGUUUACGAAAUGCUAGGAAACAUGAUGAGGAACUUCACACAAGUGGGACAACAAUUCUCGAGAGUGCACCUAAUUCCAUGAGCAGUCCAUCUAGCUCAUCCUCUUAAGCAAUGCAGUCCUCCGGGUUGGAGAAGAAGUCGGGAUACACAUACCACCACUCCUCACCAUUUUCUUUGAGGUACGUAUUACUAUUAAAUUCUUUUUGUUACCUUUUUCCUGAACCAUUGUUAAUAUUUCUGGUUUCUUACCUUUUUGUUGUGUAAGUUUGCAGGUUUUAGUUAAUUAUUUUGUAGGGUUCGGUUAAUUAAUUUGCAGAUUUUGAUUAUCUAAGUUUCAUGUUUGGUUUGUCUAAGUUAUAUAGAUUGCAGGUUUCGUUUGUCUAUGUUACAAAUUGUAGGUUUUUGUGAAUUAAUUUGGCUUUAUAAGAUGCAGGUUCAGGUUUGAGAAAAUGCAGGUUUUCUUUGCAGGCUUGAUGAUUCAUGUUUGCAGAUGAAAUUUUAUGUCCCAUAAAUGCUUUUCAAAAUGACUAAAUGAGGAACUCGACAGAAUUGUUACAUUAUAUCUUCUUAGCAGACUUCAACAAUGCAGGGUUCUCUAGGUUAUGAACUGGGGAAAUUUACAAGAAAUAUGUCAAUGGUCGAAUAUUUGGAGCUGUAAGCUGCUAGCAAAAAGACAAGUUUCGUUUUUGUUUUUUUCCAUUAUAUGUUAUAAGUCUCAUUCUCUCUGUUAAUUAUAUUUUGGAAAUCAAAAUUGAAUUUUGAUCCAUAUUUUGUUGAAAGUGGGAUUUUAUAUGUUUAAUGUUUUUAUAAUGUUUUUGUACUCGAAUUAAUUUGUUAAACCAAGACUUUUUGAUCUGGCAGAAUCAUU